rnacentral:rRNA from 1 species
CAGGAUUCCCUUAGUAACGGCGAGUGAACAGGGAUUAGCCCAGCACCGAAGCCUGCGAUUAUUUAAUUGCUAGGCAAUGUGGUGUUUAAAUUGGUUUUUGGCAAUUCUGCUUCAUCCUAAGUCCAUCAAUGAGUACGGCUAAUGGACCGGCCCAAAGAGGGUGAAAGGCCCGUGUGGAUGAAGAUCAAGUGUGACAGAAUUGGCUUGAACUGAUUUUGGAGUCGGGUUGUUUGUGAAUGCAGCCCAAAGUGGGUGGUAGACUCCAUCCAAGGCUAAAUACUGGCACGAAUCCGAUAGCAAACAAGUACCGUGAGGGAAAGUUGAAAAGUACUUUGAAGAGAGAGUAAACAGUGCGUGAAACCGCUCAGAGGUAAACGGGUGGAGUUGAACUGGAAUCCCCGGGAAUUUAACUGAUGAGUAUGGCAUGCGCUUGGGCAUGUUGGCCAGCAUCGAGGGUUUGCUUAAUUGCAGGCCUUGACUUUUCGGAGUUUAGGUACACGUUGCGCUUGUCAGGUGUUGUGUGCUUUAGAUGCGUUGGGCUUGCUCGUCAGUGCAUUUUUUCGGGGUGAUCACCACGACCGGCGUGGUUGCCUGUUUGCUGCGGUUAAACCGAUUAGAUUUGGUCACAUGGCUGGGUUUAAUCGGGAUGGCAGGUAGCUUGUUUACUCAUUCGAGUUUGCAAGUGUUAUUAGCUGACUGUGGCAAAUUUGUGCAAUAUGUCGGAAAUAACGGCUUUGCUCACGCUGUUUAGCAAAUCCAGUUGGGUUUGAUUGGCACGUACUUGUUUUGGCAAGUCUGUUAGUAGCCCAAUGGGGUUUGUUGGCAGUAGUGUGUAACGUGUUUUGAGCCUAUAGUCUGUGGUGUAGUGGUAGACGAUCCACCCGACCCGUCUUGAAACACGGACCAAGGAGUUUAACACGUGCGCGAGUCAUUGGGCGUUACGAAACCCAAAGGCGUAGUGAAGGUAAAGGCUCGACUUGUUUGAGCUGAGGUGAGAUCUUGUUGUAAUCAUUCAAUAUUAUCAAGCAUGAUGCAAUGAGCGCAUCACCAGCCCGUCUCAUGGUGUAGUCAUAAAGCUUAGCUUUGUGCGUCAUCGGGGCGGAGCUAGAGCGUACAUGUUGAGACCCGAAAGAUGGUGAACUAUGCUUGCGCAGGUUGAAGCCAGAGGAAACUCUGGUGGAGGACCGCAGCGAUUCUGACGUGCAAAUCGAUCGUCAAACGUGAGUAUAGGGGCGAAAGACUAAUCGAACCAUCUAGUAGCUGGUUCCCUCCGAAGUUUCCCUCAGGAUAGCUGGCAUUCUGAUAAUUUAUAAACAGUUUUAUCCGGUAAAGCGAAUGAUUAGAGGUAUUGGGGAUAAAACAUCCUCAACCUAUUCUCAAACUUUAAAUGGGUGAGAAGCUUUGCUCGUUUAAUUAGAGUGAGGCGUUGAAUGUGAGUGCCAAGUGGGCCAUUUUUGGUAAGCAGAACUGGCGCUGUGGGAUGAACCAAACGCUUGGUUAAGGUGCCUAACACGACGCUCAUGAGAUACCACAAAAGGUGUUGGUUGGUAUAGACAGCAGGACGGUGGCCAUGGAAGUCGGAAACCG